rnacentral:rRNA from 1 species
UACGGAGGGUGCAAGCGUUGUUCGGAAUCACUGGGCGUAAAGGGCGUGUAGGCGGUCCGCUAAGUCUGAUGUGAAAGCCCGAGGCUUACCCUCGGAAGUGCAUUGGAGACUGGCGGACUGGAGUCCCGGAGAGGAGGGUGGAAUUCCUGGUGUAGCGGUGAAAUGCGCAGAUAUCAGGAGGAACACCGAUGGCGAAGGCAGCUCGCUGGGACGGUACUGACGCUGAGGCGCGAAAGCGUGGGGAGCGAACAGG